rnacentral:lncRNA from 1 species
UAAAGGGAAAUCAAAAUAUGAAGUAAGGUUUUUGCAUCUAAAUGCAAGGAAGUAAAAAGCUACAAUAAAAACUAAGAAAACUACACUACAACUACUAACCUGAGAAAGGUAAAGAACUAAAACCUAAAAAUGGAGAAGAAAAUAAAAACUAAGCUAAAAGGAUGAUAAAGUUGGCUCUUUUAGUUUGACUUCAACCAUAAAACUUGACAAAAAUGCCCUUGGAGUGUACGGGUUAACUUGUGUUUAUGUUAGACAUAAAACUACCCUUGUAGUAUCUUUUACCCGGUCAGGCUUCCGUGUUGUGACACCCAAGCUUUGGUGUCGUGACAUCCUUGACAGUGGCACGAUCUUGUCUUUGGGAGUUUUCGAUGUUGCAACAUCCUCGACAUUAGCCUUGGUUCUUUAACUUCAACCAUCGACAAUGGUAUCGCGACUUUGAAGGCUGGGAUUCGUGACUUCGGCUUGGUGUCACAACACAAUACCCUCGACGUCACAACAUCCUUGCAGACUUCUCCAGGUUGGUUUCUCGUCGAAGACUUGCUCCCUCAAGAUGAUGAAGGCCAAGAUUGGUUGUU